rnacentral:rRNA from 1 species
AGCAUGCCACGGUGAAUACGUUCCCGGGUCUUGUACACACCGCCCGUCACACCAUGGGAGCUGGUAACACCCGAAGUCAGUAGUCUAACCGCAAGGAGGACGCUGCCGAAGGUGGGAUUAGCGACUGGGGUGAAGUCGUAACAAGGUACC